GGGCUACUCGCCUUCUGUUGUUUUUCUUCUCUCAUUCUCUCUCUCUCUCGCUCGCUCUACCACCCUCGCUCUCUUUCCACUGCACUCGCUCCUUGUAUCAGGUGAUCGGGUUAAUUGGGAACCCACCUGCACAUUGAUUGCAGGGUGGCGCUAGCCUGUAUAAAGCUAAGCCGAUGUCUUGUUGGAUUAAUUCCUCCCGAGCUUCUGGUACGAUACAGCAGUAAAUGCUGGCGUACUGCGACGGAUUGAUCAGCAAGAGCCGAUUAUACGACAGCUACAGCGCAGCAGUCUGUUUAAUUCUGCCAUUGCGGAGAGAGGUGUUCGUGGUAUCUCCACCAAUGAGAGUAUAGUGCCUCCGGUCCUGGGGGUUCACUGCUGUACUCACCUCUCCAUGGUAAAUUGUCCAACCUAAAUUGGAAGAGUGGACUGCCUUCUCAGUUGCUGUUGUGAACUCCUCCUUGGUGGAGUCUGCUGUCUUGUCUCGUUUUGUCUUAUCUUGUUUUUAUUAAGUAGGCUUACCUUUUUUUGGGUUCGCCUGGUGUUCUAUUUUACCCUGGACUGUUGCUCGUACCCACACUUCUGUGAUCGGGCUGAAGUGAUUCUCUGCCCGAGUGUCGUGCUGGGACUCUAAAUCGCCUGGGUGGCCGGUCUCAGCCGGUGGGGAGCCAGACCGGCCUACGCCUGAGAAUAAUUAUUACCAGCACGAGUGGUAGUUUGACCCGUGGGGAAUAAGCCUUGUGUGUGUGUGUGUGUGUGAUUUCUUUUAUUAAAGUUAUUAACGUGUGUUUUAGUCUUUUUAUGAUUUGUAGCGAGCCUGACGCUCAGUGUCCUUUUAUUCUUUUAACAUACUUUUCUGUGUUUUAUUUCAGUGAAGGAGGACGAGCCAGUGGCCCUGGGACCUCAGGUGGUGGGUCGUUUUCACACUUUCUUUUGUACAGCACUGGGUGGUCUGCAGUGAUUCUUUUGGUGUGAUUUUCUUUUGGUUCCACGGCUGCUGGUAAGUCCAAGUUCCACGAUUGUUUAUUUUUACUGUAGGACACUGUCAAUAAUGACGCUACAUCUUGACUUUUAAUAUUUUAUUUAUAAAAUAUUAUUUAUAAUAUUUUAUUUAUUUCUAUAAAUAAAACUGUUUUAAUAUUGGAAGCCAACCUGCCUCAGUGUGCAUCCUUGAAUCUGUGCGGUCUUCUUUUAUUCCUUUUAUUUAUUUUUCUUAAAUAUAUUUCCUGGGGGUGUAAUUCCCCUAGGUGGCG